GGUUGAAAGGUAAAAAGUUAUCUCACUUGAUUGUUCACAGUUACUGAUGAAACUCCUUGUUCUACUACUUUCCCCCUCCUCACUACUGCACUUGAGCAGUCUUAA
rnacentral:Y_RNA from 1 species